ACGGGUGAGUAACGCGUGGGAAUCUACCCAACCCUGCGGAAUAGCUCCGGGAAACUGGAAUUAAUACCGCAUACGCCCUACGGGGGAAAGAUUUAUCGGGGAUGGAUGAGCCCGCGUUGGAUUAGCUAGUUGGUGGGGUAAAGGCCUACCAAGGCGACGAUCCAUAGCUGGUCUGAGAGGAUGAUCAGCCACAUUGGGACUGAGACACGGCCCAAACUCCUACGGGAGGCAGCAGUGGGGAAUAUUGGACAAUGGGCGCAAGCCUGAUCCAGCCAUGCCGCGUGAGUGAUGAAGGCCCUAGGGUUGUAAAGCUCUUUCACCGGUGAAGAUAAUGACGGUAACCGGAGAAGAAGCCCCGGCUAACUUCGUGCCAGCAGCCGCGGUAAUACGAAGGGGGCUAGCGUUGUUCGGAAUUACUGGGCGUAAAGCGCACGUAGGCGGAUAUUUAAGUCAGGGGUGAAAUCCCAGAGCUCAACUCUGGAACUGCCUUUGAUACUGGGUAUCUUGAGUAUGGAAGAGGUAAGUGGAAUUCCGAGUGUAGAGGUGAAAUUCGUAGA
rnacentral:rRNA from 2 species